rnacentral:rRNA from 1 species
GACAGAGGUGCCGAGCGUUAGGCGGAAUCACUGGGCUUAAAGCGUGUGUAGGCGGAUCUGUAAGUACCUUGUGAAAUCCCACGGCUCAACCGUGGAACUGCUUGGUAUACUGCGGGUCUUGAGCCACCUAGGGGCAAGUGGAACAAACGGUGGAGCGGUGAAAUGCGUAGAUAUCCGGAAGAACACCGGUGGCGAAGGCGGUCUGCUGGGGUAAUGCUGACACUGAUGCGCGACAGCGUGGGGAGCAAACAGG